AAGGAGGAGCUUGCUUCUCCGGAUGAGUUGCGAACGGGUGAGUAACGCGUAGGUAACCUGCCUGGUAGCGGGGGAUAACUAUUGGAAACGAUAGCUAAUACCGCAUAAGAGUAGAUGUUGCAUGACAUUUGCUUAAAAGGUGCAAUUGCAUCACUACCAGAUGGACCUGCGUUGUAUUAGCUAGUUGGUGGGGUAACGGCUCACCAAGGCGACGAUACAUAGCCGACCUGAGAGGGUGAUCGGCCACACUGGGACUGAGACACGGCCCAGACUCCUACGGGAGGCAGCAGUAGGGAAUCUUCGGCAAUGGACGGAAGUCUGACCGAGCAACGCCGCGUGAGUGAAGAAGGUUUUCGGAUCGUAAAGCUCUGUUGUAAGAGAAGAACGAGUGUGAGAGUGGAAAGUUCACACUGUGACGGUAUCUUACCAGAAAGGGACGGCUAACUACGUGCCAGCAGCCGCGGUAAUACGUAGGUCCCGAGCGUUGUCCGGAUUUAUUGGGCGUAAAGCGAGCGCAGGCGGUUAGAUAAGUCUGAAGUUAAAGGCUGUGGCUUAACCAUAGUACGCUUUGGAAACUGUUUAACUUGAGUGCAAGAGGGGAGAGUGGAAUUCCAUGUGUAGCGGUGAAAUGCGUAGAUAUAUGGAGGAACACCGGUGGCGAAAGCGGCUCUCUG
rnacentral:rRNA from 1 species